rnacentral:rRNA from 1 species
CCUACGGGGGGCAUCAGUGGGGAAUAUUGCACAAUGGGCGCAAGCCUGAUGCAGCCAUGCCGCGUGUGUGAAGAAGGCCUUCGGGUUGUAAAGCACUUUCAGCCGGGAGGAAGGCGUUAAGGUUAAUAACCUUGGCGAUUGACGUUACCCGCAGAAGAAGCACCGGCUAACUCCGUGCCAGCAGCCGCGGUAAUACGGAGGGUGCAAGCGUUAAUCGGAAUUACUGGGCGUAAAGCGCACGCAGGCGGUCUGUCAAGUCGGAUGUGAAAUCCCCGGGCUCAACCUGGGAACUGCAUUCGAAACUGGCAGGCUAGAGUCGUGUAGAGGGGGGUAGAAUUCCAGGUGUAGCGGUGAAAUGCGUAGAGAUCUGGAGGAAUACCGGUGGCGAAGGCGGCCCCCUGGACAAAGACUGACGCUCAGGUGCGAAAGCGUGGGGAGCAAACAGGAUUAGAUACCCGGGUAGUC